rnacentral:rRNA from 1 species
AGCAGCCGCGGUAAUUCCAGCUCCAAUAGCGUAUAUUAAAGUUGUUGCAGUUAAAAAGCUCGUAGUUGAAUUUCGAGAUCAAAUUGUUGGUCGUGCCUCGGUACGUACUGGCAUUAUUGAUUUCUCCUUUCUGAAGAACCUUGAUGUCAUUAAUUUGGUGUCUUGGGGAAUCAGGACCGUUACUUUGAAAAAAAUUAGAGUGUUUAAAGCAGGCUCACGCUUGAAUACAUUAGCAUGGAAUAAUGAAAUAGGACGUUUGAUUCUAUUUUGUUGGUUUCUAGGAUCGACGUAAUGAUUAAUAGGGAUAGUUGGGGGCAUUAGUAUUCAAUUGUCAGAGGUGAAAUUCUUGGAUUUAUUGAAGACUAACUACUGCGAAAGCAUUUGCCAAGGAUGUUUUCAUUAAUCAAGAACGAAAGUUAGGGGAUCGAAGACGAUCAGAUACCGUCGUAGUCUUAACCAUAAACUAUGCCGACUAGGGAUCGGAUGAUGUUAAUUUUUAAUGACUCAUUCGGCGUCCG